UACGGGGGGGGCAAGCGUUGUUCGGAAUUACUGGGCGUAAAGGGCUCGUAGGCGGCCGGGUAAGUCUGAUGUGAAAUCCCGCAGCUUAACUGCGGAACUGCAUCGGAUACUCUCCGGCUAGAGGAAUGGAGGGGAGACUGGAAUUCUCGGUGUAGCAGUGAAAUGCGUAGAUAUCGAGAGGAACACCAGUGGCGAAGGCGAGUCUCUGGACAUUUCCUAACGCUGAGGCACGAAAGCCAGGGGAGCAAACGGG
rnacentral:rRNA from 1 species